AGAGAUCAGCUAAAAUUGCCACAAACACCCGUGGCCAGCCCCUGGGGCACAAAAGAAACUCCAGCCCCGUUGCAGUUCACAGCUUUCAGUGUUUCUUGAGUCUCUAGACGAACCAGCAGUGUUUCUGAACCGGCUGGGGAAGAAGUUCUUUUCUGCAAAAUGUUCCUCUAGUCAUAGAUAUCAACGGGCUAUGUCUUUCUGCCCCAGGACUGCAGGAGGAACACAUCUUCAGAGAGGACACAUCAGCUUUGGCUGUUAGAAGAGCCUUGGAGUGAGGAGCCCGAAGGGGUGGAGAGGAGAUCUCUGCUCAGUUAAUGCCUACUUUAUUCUCUGCCGCCAAAGACUGCACAGGAAUUUUUAUCACCAUUGGGGGCCUAAUACUGGUGGUGAAAAAGCAAGUUCCUGUCCUGGUUGCUGAACUAAAAAGGAGUAAAUGUCUUGGAUGUCUCAAGUUUCUUUGUCAAGCAAACAAAAAUAAAGGAAUCUAGUUUACUGGAAUAGUUGCAGUGCUCAUUAAAAUUGAUGACUUCGAAGAUUCUGAGCCUGUCUUCCU